rnacentral:lncRNA from 1 species
UUAUGGAAAUAAUUGGCCCCAUUGACUCACUGCACGAUCACUUUAUGCCAUAGUGAAGUCUGUUUUUGCUUAGGUAUUCUUUUUUUUAAUGGCUUUUUUCAAUAACUUAAAAUUUUUUAUCAUUCAAACUGAUAUUAUAUCUAUGCCUUAUUUUGAUUAACUAGUAAACUGUUCAGUGUUUAAUAGAACUCUUCUGUCUCUCAUGUGCAGGUGCCAUCUUCAAACAGCUCCAUUAUUUAUGUCUGGUGCACAGUUUUGACUUUAGAACCCAGCUCUCAAGUGCAGCAGCGAAUGGUGAGUGCUUUCAGAUCCUAAAAUAUGGCAUACGACUUUGACCUUUCCUGUUCUGAAAUAAAUUAAGGUCAGAGUGACCCAGGGAAGAGAUUUAUUACAAGUUUGUCUCAGCAUCAAACAGCUGGAAUACUGCAACAAAGCAAAUAUGAAAGUUGUUCUGUCCUUUUAUUUUUAUAGAUUGUGUUCAGCCCUCUUUUUAUCAUGAGGAGUCAUCUUCCAGACCCCAUUAUCAUACAUUUGGAGAAAAGGAGUCUGGGAUUGAGUGAAACACAAAUUAUUCCAGGAAAAGGACAGGAAAAACCACUGCAAAACAUAGAACCUGACCUUGUACAUCACCUAACAUUUCAAGCAAGGUACUGGGAAAAUCCUUAACUUUUUCCUCAAAUUCAGAAGAAAAGGUACCUUGUCCUGUCAAGGGGGGCAAGAAAGGAUAGAGUUUUUUGUGUGAUUUCUUAUGAGAAUGUUAUUUUUAAAUUGCCUUGCCUAGUGUUCUCCUGUUCUCUUCUGUAGUUGAAGAUAAAAUUCAGCCGCGUUCAAAAUGAAAAAGAGGGAUGAUCAGAAAAUCUAAUUGACAACAUAAUUUCUGUAGAGGAACGAGAGAGCUCCACCCUAGCACUGGGGAGGAAAGUCCCAGAUCAUUCCCCAAACUGUUUCAUCAUCCCUGAAGCACCAAAAAUUGACUUGCUCUCACCAAAAAAAAAAAAAAAAAAACACACACACAUUGGUUUAUAAUACAUCUGAUAAUCAUUCUCGUUUUUCCUUUCCAUUUCCUAGAGAAGAGGAUGACCCUUCACACUGUGCUGUUCCCAUCUCAACAUCCCUCAUUAAGCAGAUAGCCACUAAGAUACACCCCGAAGGCACAGUCACUCAGAUACUUGAUGAGUUCUACGGGCCAGAGAAGUUCCUUCAACCCACAUGGCCCUAUAAUAAAAAGGACUCUGACAGGAAUGAGCAACUGAGCCAGUGGGACAGCCCAAUGCGAGUGAAGCUGUCAGCCUGGAAGCCAUAUGUGAGGACCUUAUUGAUAGAAUUGCUACCGUGGGCCCUGCUUAUCAAUCAGUCCAAGUGGGACCUCUGGCUGUUUGAGGGAGAGAAGAUUGUUCUACAGGUUCCUGCUGGCAAAAUUAUUAUCCCUCCUAAUUUUCAGGUACUAUAACUCUUUUUUUAAACUAGUAGGAAUUCUUUUCUUUCAACAACCAUCUUUUAUUCUGAGGUUACAUUUAUGUUCUUAACAGACUCAAUCAG